GACACUCACUGUUCUAGAAAGUGGCA
rnacentral:piRNA from 1 species